GCUUCUGUAGUGUAGUUCGGUCAAUCUUACUUUUCGAGCAAUUUAAGGACUUCGCAUAUGAGGCUCUCACCCUCGUGACCCGGGUUCAAAUCCCGGCAGAAGCA
rnacentral:tRNA from 1 species